UGGGAAUUUGGACAAUGGGCGAAGCCUGAUCCAGCAAUGCCGCGUGUGUGAAGAAGGCCUUCGGGUUGUAAAGCACUUUUGUCCGGAAAGAAAUCCUUGGCUCUAAUACAGUCGGGGGAUGACGGUACCGGAAGAAUAAGCACCGGCUAACUACGUGCCAGCAGCCGCGGUAAUACGUAGGGUGCAAGCGUUAAUCGGAAUUACUGGGCGUAAAGCGUGCGCAGGCGGUUUGCUAAGACCGAUGUGAAAUCCCCGGGCUCAACCUGGGAACUGCAUUGGUGACUGGCAGGCUAGAGUAUGGCAGAGGGGGGUAGAAUUCCACGUGUAGCAGUGAAAUGCGUAGAGAUGUGGAGGAAUACCGAUGGCGAAGGCAGCCCCCUGGGCAAUACUGACGCUCAUGCACGAAAGCGUGGGGAGCAAACAGGAUUAGAUACCCUGGUAGUCCACGCCCUAAACGAUGUCAACUAGUUGUUGGGGAUUCAUUUCCUUAGUAACGUAGCUAACGCGUGAAGUUGACCGCCUGGGGAGUACGGUCGCAAGAUUAAAACUUAAAGGAAUUGAC
rnacentral:rRNA from 1 species